AUUCAUAAUCCUUCCCCAAAAACCUCACCAGAGAGCCGCCCCGGCCGUCACUCCCAUGGCGUUCUCUGCCGGUGCCUGCUCAGAUUUAUGGGGCAGUCCGGUGUCAGACUCUCGACCUGAAAGGGAUUUGGGCUUUCUUAGUGGUUAGGGAGGUGGUCAGGGGAGCAAUGGUGGAUUCUCUCUAAGCACCUAGUACCCAGUACUGGGCCUCUAGUCUGGCACACCCACCUUAUCCUGGUCUCAUACACCUCGGACACUCUGGACAUUACCGACAACGGCCCGGUCUGGCGCCGACAGUCGCAGUGUGGAUGGCAGCAGCACCAAGGUUGGAGUCCCCUUACCGACACCCACACAGCCACAUGCCCCGCUCCGCCAUGCAGACACCCAGGCACAGGACGAGCCAACGGAACAUCUGAUCAUGAAGUUUGCCAGGCUGUGGAUUCUCCAGCCCUGCAAUCGCAUAAAAUCAUUCUCCAUCCAUAUUAAAGCUCAGCCCUCUCCAUCACUGGUGCCCCUGACAACACAGGAAAUGGAUCCCACCCGACGACAGACUCAGCCUCCACACUGUUUAUCACCACAAUUAUCCCCCAUUCACUCACAGGCUUAUAAGGUAAACUGCCAUUCAGCGAUGUGAAACCACAGGUCUGGACUGGCAAUUUGAUGUAAUUGUGCCGCUGUGAUCAUCUGUAGUAGGAGCUAGGCACCUCAUUUACUGUGGCAUUCUAUUGGAGGGAGAAAAUUAGAAGGAAUGAGUCUUUGAUUUUUGGAGAGGGACAAUGGCUGAGAUCAAACAGAAUGGAGGUAGAUGUAGAAAGGGGCAGCCUGCUGGAUGCAUCGACCAAGCACAGGGAGGGGAGGGGGGACAUCCUCCCACUGGCCAUGGGGAGCUGCGGGGAUGGCACAGAGCACUGUGAACCCGGUGACAAGGACAUGUUCCCUGGCUGGGCCUGAGAGUGGGUCUGGGUCCCCCCAAAGGACACGCACACAGGACCCAUCCAGGACCCCAUCCGCUGGCCUUAACUGACCUUUAGCUAAUGGAGGUCUGGCCUCUGAUCAAUGCACUGAGAGACUGGCGGAAGCCAUCUUGCCUUUUUUUCUGAGAGAGGGGAUGGAGGGGGCAAGGGGGACAAAGGGGACAGAAAUGGACGGAGCCAAGAGCCAACAUGGGGCCAUCGACCCUGCCACUCUCCCAUCCUGUGGGUGAUAUCUGUGCCAGCGGGCCUGGGGAUGGUAAUGUCAUGAUGCUACUCUGCCCUGCCACUGAGGAAGGACGGCCAACCCCUCUGUCUCUGUCCCUGUGCUGUAGGGAGGGAAAGUCAGUGCAGAUCCACUUGUGAAUGUCAGAUAUAUCUAUAAUAAUGGCUAUCAUGGCUUUGUGGUUGAAUGCGAAUCAGCUUUAUCAGUAGGCUAUACUGCAAUUAAGAAUCUUACGAAAAACCAAGUGUUUAUGACAAGUUUAUGGACAACUUUGCAUUGAAAUUUUGCAUUGAAACUCUCUUUAGUUGUCCUCAUAGGAUAACCCUUUUUUGUUCCAGGUAUAACCCUUAUGGGUUCCAUGUAGAACCCUCUGUAGUUUGGGAUGAGUUGAGUGAAGAAGUGAAGGAGUGAAGGAAUAGCAGCCAACAAGUGCUCAGCAUAUGUGGGAACUCCUUCAAGACUGUUGGAAAAGCAUCAAAUAAAGAAAAACCCUUGAAUGAGUAGGUGUGUCCAAACUUUUGACUGGUAUUGUACAUGGAACCCCAAAGGGUUCUAUCUGAAACCAAAGCGGUUCUAUCUGGAUCCAAAGUGGUUCUAUCUGGAACCAAAGUGGUUCUAUCUGGAAGCAAAAAGGGUUCAUGAAAGGGUUCCCCUAUGAGUACAGCCGAAUAAAAAACACUUUCCGGUUCUACGGUUCUCUGUACGAGCCAGAUGGUUCACUACUGUACCUUUCAUCAUAGUAGCCUCUGAGGCACAUUCCACAUUAGCAUAGAACAACAAAUGAACAACAGCCUUUGUAUCGUAAUGACAUACACGCUUCCUUACAAUGAUGCAAAGCAAUUUAUAUGACCAACUGCAGAUAAAUCACAUUCCAUAUGGAGAGGGACAAAAGCUCAGAGAUAGAUUUGGCACGGAUUGCUCUUUUUAUUUUCAUUAUCAUUAACAGUAAUGUGAUACUCAAACCUCCUGUGACCUUUUCAAAGCUCGCUCUAUUCUCAGAAGAGCCACUCAUUAGGACAAGCAGAAGGAAAAGUGCAGAGAGAGAGAGAGAGAGAGAGAGAGAGAGAGAGAGAGAGAGUGCACAGAGUACAGUCCAAAAAUGACAUUAUAAACAUGAUUAUCAUAUUGCUGAUGUACUUUUAUACGGUGCUCCUCAAUGCACAUUCCUAAAAAUGGAAAUGCAUAAAGAUGUCAUGUGGUCACCGCGGGCCAGCGGUAAGGCAUACUGUCUGUGUGUGAUUACUAUGCAGUUACACUUAAGCCCGCUGACGGACGGACUGAGGAGGAUACGAGGCAAUCUGAGCGAGGCAUGUCUGGCCUAUGACAGGCUCAACUUGCUAGCGUUUCCUCCUUAUCGGGAGCUGGGGAUGACAAGACUAAUUGAAAAGCUCCUUAGUUUUCUUCCUCGCAUAUAAAUGGAUUACAGUCUUUGCCUUCAUGCUUUGGUCCUAUGUUUACUCAAUGAGAUCUGACACUAGAGUGGGGGGGUAGGUCCACUCCCAAUUCUAUCCCACACACCUGGUCCGAUUCUGCCCAAUUCCAUACUAACAAUCAGCGCCUCGGUCUCCAUCUCUCACCCUUCUGUGUCUCUUAUCUAGCAGGCCAAUAAACUCACAAAUCCCAUCAUACUAUAUACUGUACACAUCUUAAAGUGAUACUUUAUGCUAGCAGAUACCCAUAGACUUCCAGUCAUUGCGCUAACGCUAGUUAGCAUUGGCUCGCGAAACUACCUCGAACGUCCUUCAUACUGGACACAGACACAUAAAAAUAGUAUCCACUAGUUCUUCUGACUCUGGGCAAGUAGAUAAAGGGCCUCUUUCGCAAAAUCCUGAAGUAGCCUUUGAAUAUAUUUAUAGGUGUGGUUAUAUGGUAUUGGGGGGCUGACACCCUUGGUCAGGGACUUACGGGGGGUGCUGGGGAGCGAGGAGAGAGAUGCAGAGAGAACCCCGUGGAACCACUGAGUGGUGUGGCAGACUCCCCAGCCUCCUGCUACGAUUUGUUGGAAUGUGAGAGAGGAGGAUUUUAGCGCCAGGCCAGAGCCACGCAGACUUCAUGCCAUCUGUCUCCCCCUCUGUCCUCCCUUUGCCAAACUCAUCAGACCUUUUUUUCUCUCCUUUUCAUCCCUUGUUCACAAGACUAGGGGACAUACUGGUAUCUGCUAACGCACUGGAGGAAAGAAUGGAGGGAAGAAAUGGAAGAUGAGCUCAAUAAACAAAUGAAUAUGUAUUCAUGGAGUUGAUGUACUGACAAACUGUACGAUAUACAGUAUCUGUGACAGAGAAACUGAGUCUUCAUGUUGUAUCAAAGUUUAAUGACCAUAAAACACUUCCAAGAGUCAGUAAAGUCAGUCUUUAAAGUCUAACACUGUAAUGAAGGCAUCAAUGUCAAAAAUGUGUUUAUUUUAAUAACAAUAACCCAUAUGUAUUUAACUUCCAUUGUCCUUCAAGAAUGGCUGAAUAUUUUCUUGUGGUGUACCUGGGUAGGACUUUGUGGUAGUGGCACACUGUACAUUAUCCCGCAUGAGUUAGUAAAACAAAAGUCUGUUGCGAUUCCAACUUAUGCAUUGUGUUAUGGCAGGAACAUGUCAGAUUCAUUAUCACAACGGUUAAUAUGGUGUCAUAUCUGCCCUUCCGUUUAUUGACCAGCCAAUAAAUGGUAUCAUAAAUAA